GGGCGGCCUAAUACUGCAAGUCGAGCGGACAGAUGGGAGCUUGCUCCCUGAUGUUAGCGGCGGACGGGUCCGUAACACGUGGGUAACCUGCCUGUAAGACUGGGAUAACUCCGGGAAACCGGGGCUAAUACCGGAUGGUUGUUUGAACCGCAUGGUUCAAACAUAAAAGGUGGCUUCGGCUACCACUUACAGAUGGACCCGCGGCGCAUUAGCUAGUUGGUGAGGUAACGGCUCACCAAGGCAACGAUGCGUAGCCGACCUGAGAGGGUGAUCGGCCACACUGGGACUGAGACACGGCCCAGACUCCUACGGGAGGCAGCAGUAGGGAAUCUUCCGCAAUGGACGAAAGUCUGACGGAGCAACGCCGCGUGAGUGAUGAAGGUUUUCGGAUCGUAAAGCUCUGUUGUUAGGGAAGAACAAGUACCGUUCGAAUAGGGCGGUACCUUGACGGUACCUAACCAGAAAGCCACGGCUAACUACGUGCCAGCAGCCGCGGUAAUACGUAGGUGGCAAGCGUUGUCCGGAAUUAUUGGGCGUAAAGGGCUCGCAGGCGGUUUCUUAAGUCUGAUGUGAAAGCCCCCGGCUCAACCGGGGAGGGUCAUUGGAAACUGGGGAACUUGAGUGCAGAAGAGGAGAGUGGAAUUCCACGUGUAGCGGUGAAAUGCGUAGAGAUGUGGAGGAACACCAGUGGGCGAAGGCGACUCUCUGGUCUGUAACUGACGCUGAGGAGCGAAAGCGUGGGGAGCGAACAGGAUUAGAUACCCUGGUAGUCCACGCCGUAAACGAUGAGUGCUAAGGGGUUAGGGGG
rnacentral:rRNA from 1 species